rnacentral:rRNA from 1 species
GUGGGGAAUAUUGGACAAUGGGGGGAACCCUGAUCCAGCCAUGCCGCGUGUGUGAAGAAGGCCUUUUGGUUGUAAAGCACUUUAAGCGAGGAGGAGGCUACCGAGAUUAAUACUCUUGGAUAGUGGACGUUACUCGCAGAAUAAGCACCGGCUAACUCUGUGCCAGCAGCCGUGGUAAUACAGAGGGUGCAAGCGUUAAUCGGAUUUACUGGGCGUAAAGCGCGCGUAGGUGGCCAAUUAAGUCAAAUGUGAAAUCCCCGAGCUUAACGUGGGAAUUGCAGUCGAUACUGGUUGGCUGGAGUAUGGGAGAGGAUGGUAGAAUUCCAGGUGUAGCGGUGAAAUUCGUAGAGAUCUGGAGGAAUACCGAUGGCGAAGGCAGCCAUCUGGCCUAAUACUGACACUGAGGUGCGAAAGCAUGGGGAGCAAACAGGAUUAGAUACCCUGGUAGUCC